rnacentral:rRNA from 1 species
GAUGAACGCUGGCGGCGUGCUUAACACAUGCAAGUCGAACGAAGCACUUUAACCUGAUUCUUCGGAUGAAGGUUUUUGUGACUGAGUGGCGGACGGGUGAGUAACGCGUGGGUAACCUGCCUCAUACAGGGGGAUAACAGUUAGAAAUGACUGCUAAUACCGCAUAAGACCACAGAGCCGCAUGGCUCGGUGGGAAAAACUCCGGUGGUAUGAGAUGGACCCGCGUCUGAUUAGGUAGUUGGUGGGGUAACGGCCUACCGAGCCAACGAUCAGUAGCCGACCUGAGAGGGUGACCGGCCACAUUGGGACUGAGACACGGCCCAAACUCCUACGGGAGGCAGCAGUGGGGAAUAUUGCACAAUGGGGGAAACCCUGAUGCAGCGACGCCGCGUGAGCGAAGAAGUAUUUCGGUAUGUAAAGCUCUAUCAGCAGGGAAGAAAAUGACGGUACCUGACUAAGAAGCACCGGCUAAAUACGUG